GUGAAUCAUCGAAUCUUUGAACGCACCUGGCACUGGAGGCAACUCUGGUACACCUGUUUGAGCGAGGAAAAGAAGAGGUGGUGAGAAAGUGAAUAUUUUGCUUUCUGACUGAAAGCGAUGGUGGGCGUGGCAGCCCGUGAGGACGAAGUCAUCGACGAGCGUAGCACAGGCGGCCACAUGCACCCACACACACCACACAUUCUCAAAUCAGGCGAGAGGACCCGCUGGACUUAAGCAUAUCAAUAAGCGGAGGA
rnacentral:misc_RNA from 1 species